ensembl:lncRNA
CUCACCCGUUGCAGCACCUUCACCAGUCUUUCAUUAUGUUCUUGUAGGGUGGAGCCCCAAAUAACCACAUCAUCAACAUAACAGCGAACACCUUGUAAUCCCUCUAACAUGUUGUCCAUGGCACGAUGAAAAAUCUCAGAUGCUGAGAUUAUGCCAAAUGGCAUUCUGAGGAAUCUGUACCUGCCAAAAGGUGUAUUGAAAGUACAGUAUUUUGAACUUUUCUCAUCUAGCUUUAUUUGCCAAAACCCCUGUGCUGCAUCUAGCUUUGAGAAGUAUUUGGCACCUGCCAUUUCACUUGCAAUCUCUUCACGCUUUGGUAUCUGGUAGUGCUCACGCUUUACGGCUUGAUUUAAAUCGCCAGGGUCCAUGCAUAUUCUCAAAUCAUUGUUUUUAUUCCUUUUAUCCACACACACCAUUGAGUUUACCCACUCAGUUGGUUCUUCCACUUUUGUAAUGACCUGCAACUGUGACAUUUCUGGGCCGUGCCGAAUUGAAAUUUCACCUAUAGGGGAUCUUCUUUACAUGAGUUGCAUUUGUCACAGUGAGUACGAAUAAAUGAUUAAAUACAGUGAAUUUUCUUGAGGGUGUGUGUGUUUCUAGGGAUAAUGACUACUGGUUUUAUACAUUUAUAUUGAGGAGCGGAUGAUUGUGGCUGAGUGUGUGCAUAGAUAAUGUGAAGACUGCUUUGCAGCCGCUGGGUGUGAGUAGCUGUGUGUGUAUGACCGGAACUCUGCACGCCCAUAAAAGGCAACUGCCUGACUGUGUGAAGUGUGAACCCAGCGAGAGAGAGAGUGAAAUCUAGGCAGAUGGAGCGAUUGGACGUCUUAAGAAAAGAAAUACUAAUUGUAUGUUUUAGUGUGUUAAUACAGGAAGCUACGGACCUGGACCAACCGCCCACCACAAGCACAGCGCCCAGAACAAAAUUAUAGUAAUGGGAACCACACCCAGCAAGAAUCAGCAGCUGUGGAAAAGACAGCAGCGAGGAGAGAAUUAGAGGAGAAAUGAAGGUUUUAAGAGCACAUAAAAUUGGGUUGGAUUUUGGGGCCAAUGGACUUGUGGAGGUUGGGAAGGCGUCCAGAGCAUCACAACAAAAGGACAACAACUUAACUUCCAAAAGAAAGAGACUGGUAUGACCAACCAGCGAUGAAACAACAAAUUUAGUGGUUAAGAGUCAAAUUGUGAGAUGUUUUCUGCUGAUUGAAUAAUAGAAGUGAUUACUGAAGGAAGGAAAUUGAUUUUUGGGCUUUUAAACAUGAUCUUAAAAAUUUUAACAUGUACCUGUGUUGUCCUGUCAACUUGGUGGGUUAUGAGUUGAUUAUAUGGUAAGAAAGAACAAAAAAAGGGGGAGGGAAGGCUGACACAGGGCCUGGCCCGGUGUUUCUCCCCUCUCUGAAUCACACAGCCAAAACAACAUCAUUUUCCUGUUCGUCUGUUCGUCUGUUUUUGUUUUGUUUUUGUUUUUUCUCUUUAUGUUUAAUUACAGGCUGCUUUGCCAGCCCGGAAAGCCGAGGCCGACCUGGACUCCUGCUCUCCCCUCUACCAUCUUUGACGUGACCCUGACCAAAUGCUGCAGCAGCUGGACCCAUAACAACAAUCUGAAAAUGUCAACAGUGCUGCAGGAAAGCGAUCUCAUGCAGCAGAGACGGAGAGCGUUAAAUCCAAGGCUCGUUUCACUACACGGGGGAGAUUUCCAGACAGCUUCAGCUGACAGAGCUGUGACGAGACGCCCAUUAAGCCUGAAUGAAGAGUGAGGCUGAGCAACAUGAUGCUGACCUUAAUAACUCUGCAUUUAACACUGUGCAGGACAGUGAUGGACCAACACGAAUGAUCAGGCAGCAAAAAGGGCGUGCCAGAGACAGCAGGAGUAACUGAGGUCAGGAGGCACCUCAGAAUGGACAGAAGCACCAGAAGAAAAUAAGCUGAAGGCACAGGUGUCGGGGCUCGGCCAGGAGCUGACCUCUGAGAAGAGCCGGACAGCAGAGCUGCAGAAGGCCUUGGAGCAAAGCAAGGAAAACAUCAAUAAGCUUCAAUAUGACGUGUACGGAAAAGACUCUGAGGUUUCUGCCCUCAGUACGAGCUCAAGGCAUCAGAGCAGAAACUGAGCAUGGCUCAGGAGGAGCUGGACAAGGAGAAGAUGAAGGUUUCACCUGCGAUGAACAUGGACACUGGAGAAAAGGACUGCUUGAUUUGGGGCCAGAACCAGGACAGACUGAACUUUGAACAGCAGCAAGGGUGGCAAACAGGCUGAAAUGGAGGAGGGCAGGACCCCAGGGCACGCUUCAGGCCGUGGUUUACCCAGAACACCAGAACAGGAAAGUGAUGAACACAAACACACACAAACACACACAUCUACAUACGCUGACUCAGAAUGAAGAGAAAUACACACAUGAACACAUGUGCACUCGUUGAUUGAGUGAGAAAUGACACACACACCUAAAUCGAAAUGCUGAUUCACUGAGAAGUGAUCCACACACAUACACAUGCACACGCUUGUGCAAUGAAGAGUGAUACACACACACGCUGAUGCAAUGAAGAAUGCUUUGCUAACAAAUGCUUAUGCUGAUAUGCAAAAUGCUGCACACAAACAUCCAAAUACAUAAUUUUUAUAAGAAGCCAUUGAUUACUUAAAAUGUGUUUUAUUAUUGGUUAAAUGUGUUUUUUUGUCACCCAGAGGUCAUUUAUGUAGAUUUAAGGGACAAGGUCUAAAACAGUUUGGUUAUGAAAACAAUGUCUGUGCGUGAUGUCUGUUUAUGGCUCAAGGCCUUGAUUGAAUUGUUUGCUGUGCUUCACACAGCCUGAUAAGGAGCAGUGGUACAGAAUGAAAAUGAUGAAGUAACGGUGUGAGUUUUAUUUUGGAGCAGUUAAACUCAUGUAGAGGGGAGAGUUCAAAUAUUUAAAUAAUAGUUUGCAAGGCCUUGUAGCUGUUUGAUUAUGCUUGCAGGAGAGACUGUUUGUUCCAGGGCAUAAGCGGAGUUAGAAGAUUACUGGGAAGGAUCUGGCCUCGGGAAGAAGAAGAUGUUCUUUUAAUGUGUUAAAAGUUGUCAACAUUGAUUGUAUUGUACCUACUUUACGCAUGAGGGGGCGUUCCAAUACCCUGAUGUUCAUAAAAACUAUUGUUGUGUGGUUUUCGGUGAGAGAUCUUAUGCUGUCUGCGUGCAGUGUCCCAUCUCCCACACGUGUGCAUUAAAAUCAUCGUUUGACUUGAC